rnacentral:rRNA from 1 species
AGAUUGAACGCUGGCGGCAGGCCUAACACAUGCAAGUCGAGCGGCAGCGGGAAGAUAGCUUGAUAUCUUUGCCGGCGAGCGGCGGACGGGUGAGUAAUGCCUAGGGAUYUGCCCAGUCGAGGGGGAUAACAGUUGGAAACGACUGCUAAUACCGCAUACGCCCUACGGGGGAAAGGAGGGGACCUUCGGGCCUUCCGCGAUUGGAUGAACCUAGGUGGGAUUAGCUAGUUGGUGAGGUAAUGGCUCACCAAGGCGACGAUCCCUAGCUGUUCUGAGAGGAUGAUCAGCCACACUGGGACUGAGACACGGCCCAGACUCCUACGGGAGGCAGCAGUGGGGAAUAUUGCACAAUGGGGGAAACCCUGAUGCAGCCAUGCCGCGUGUGUGAAGAAGGCCUUCGGGUUGUAAAGCACUUUCAGUAGGGAGGAAAGGUAGYAGYUUAAUACGCURUURCUGUGACGUUACCUACAGAAGAAGGACCGGC